rnacentral:rRNA from 1 species
AUGUGAGCGAACUACAAAAAAGUAAGUCUCAGUUCGGAUUGAAGGCUGAAAAUUCGCCUUCAUGAAGCCGGAAUUGCUAGUAUGGCAGGUCAGCAUACCGCCGUGAAUACGUUCCCGGGCCUUGUACACACCGCCCGUCACACCAUGAGAGUUGGAGAUACCCGAAGCCUGUGAGCUAACAAACGAGGCAGCAGUCGAAGGUAGAAUCAAUGAUUGGGGUGAAGUCGUAACAAGGUAAC